CCUAUGAGUUUGGGUAAUAUCCGAACCCAUACCUGGAUAUAUAUGUUUAAAAUUUUAUUUUGGUAAUUCUAUUUUGGUUGAUAAUAUGCAUAAAAUUAUUUUGGUUAUUUAUAUAUUCUAUGUUGAAUUGUAAUUCUAUUUCUAUAUUUUAUGUUUAUAAAUUUGGACUUAUAAAUUAUGUUCUAUGUUGAAUUGAUAAUUUUAUUUUGAUUGAUAAUAUGCAUAAAAUUAUUUUGGUUGUUUAUUUUUUUUGGACAUGGGAUAGGCA
rnacentral:lncRNA from 1 species